rnacentral:rRNA from 1 species
AACGGAUGAAGCUAGUGUUACUCAUAUUUAAUGGGCGUAAAGGGCGCGUAGGUAACCAAACUAAUUUAUUGACAAAGUCUGAGUCAAUUUAGGCUCUAAGAUCGGUUUUGAUUGUUUGGAUAGGGUCAUUAUGAAGUUUACGGUAUGGUUGAAGAAGAGUUAACAUUCUACGAUAACAAUCAGACUACCCUUUGCAAAAGCGGUUUACUUAUAUUGACUGACACUGAGGCGCGAAAGCGUGGGUAGCAAACAGG